AACGCGAAGAACCUUACCUGGCCUUGACAUGCCUGGAAGUCUGCAGAGAUGCGGAUGUGCCUUCGGGAACCAGGACACAGGUGCUGCAUGGCUGUCGUCAGCUCGUGUCGUGAGAUGUUGGGUUAAGUCCCGCAACGAGCGCAACCCUUGUCCUUAGUUGCCAGCAUUAAGUUGGGAACUCUAAGGAGACCGCCGGUGACAAACCGGAGGAAGGUGGGGAUGACGUCAAGUCAUCAUGGCCUUUAUGGCCAGGGCUACACACGUGCUACAAUGGUAGAAACAGAGGGAAGCCAACGCGCGAGCGGGAGCCAAUCCCAGAAAAUCUAUCGUAGUCCGGAUCGGAGUCUGCAACUCGACUCCGUGAAGUCGGAAUCGCUAGUAAUCGCAGAUCAGCAUUGCUGCGGUGAAUACGUUCCCGGGCCUUGUACACACCGGCUAC
rnacentral:rRNA from 1 species